rnacentral:lncRNA from 1 species
GAUGAUAAGUGAACGGGAGAUCACAAGGAGAAAGCGAACUGGACAUGCCACAAAUCUGAAGUGUCUUGUUAUUCAGAAGGGGCCAGAACAAGGAGUCAAGCCAUCAGUAUCUGAGAUCAGUCAAGGCAAACAGAAGUGUUGAGGCACUGCACAAGAGAAGGAAGAGGUGCUCUACAUUGAAGAUUAAGUCAACACUCUUCAAGAUCGUAGUGUUGAUUCUAUAUAUGAGCAAGUCAACAAGACACUAUGAUCAGGUCCAAGAAGAUAUGCAUCAAAAUCGUAGAGUUCGAACAGCUGAAAAUUGAGGCAUUGGCAGCGACUCAAUCUGAAGAUUGAUAUUCGAAUAAGAGCUUAUUGAGAGCAUCGAUGCAAAAGGAAAACCUCUGAUCGAGAAAUUAGAAGGAAGAAAUAAAGUUGACUACCUGCCCAAGACAUGAAAGUAACAUAUCUGAUGGGGUAGGUGAAACAGUAGACUGCAGUGUCAGAAAGUCAGAAAAAGAUGUCAUGUCACAUCUAUAGUCUGCACCAAAUAACUCGAGAUCUGCGAAGCAAUUUGAAUAGCUUUCAACGGCUACCUUCCAAUGGGAAGAUUGGGAAGCAGUAUAAAUCAACAGAGCUUUAAAGAUCAAGAGUUGCUGAUGAUUGCUAAGUUGCAGAAUCAUUGAGUUGUUGGGAAUGCUAUUGUUGACUCUACGAGUUCCACCAAAGAUCAACAGAACAAGUCUCAGUGACAGUGAAACUACAUAGGUGGAAGUGAAACAGAUUUGAAGAAGAACUCAAACAGAUUAAAGCUUCACUCAACAAAGAUGAGAAUGCUACUGAAGAUGGCAGCCAAGAUGAGAGCCGAGAAGGCCAAGAAGAUAACAUUCAGAAGAGUGGCUGAGUACAAAGAAGAUCAAGAGAGCCACUCUACGAAUCACCAUGAACCAAAAGCUGAAAUUGAACAAGUGCAGAACCAUGUCUGUAAAGCAUUCAAGAAGGGUUCAGGGAUUGCUAAGUGCCAGACGAAGUCUACUAAAAGCACAGAGACUUAGCAAACCCAGAUGGUGAUGGUGCACAGCUGAUACCAGAUGAAGAUGAGUAGAAAAGAGUGAAGAUCAGCUGCACCAAAGAAAAUGUGGUCCAGACUUGAAGUAAAAUGCAAAGAGGACCACAUCAAGCUGCUAAGUACAAAAGAUGUUCAAAGCUUAAUGACAUCUUAGCAACUCAGCACCAACAACAACAACAGCUACAAUAACAAGAAGCCAG